GAUGAACGCUGGCGGCGUGCCUAAUACAUGCAAGUCGAGCGAACAGACGAGGAGCUUGCUCCUCUGACGUUAGCGGCGGACGGGUGAGUAACACGUGGAUAACCUACCUAUAAGACUGGGAUAACUUCGGGAAACCGGAGCUAAUACCGGAUAACAUGUUGAACCGCAUGGUUCAACAGUGAAAGACGGUCUUGCUGUCACUUAUAGAUGGAUCCGCGCCGCAAUAGCUAGUUGGUAAGGUAACGGCUUACCAAGGCAACGAUGCGUAGCCGACCUGAGAGGGUGAUCGGCCACACUGGAACUGAGACACGGUCCAGACUCCUACGGGAGGCAGCAGUAGGGAAUCUUCCGCAAUGGGCGAAAGCCUGACGGAGCAACGCCGCGUGAGUGAAGAAGGUCUUCGGAUCGUAAAACUCUGUUAUUAGGGAAGAACAAAUGUGUAAGUAACUAUGCACGUCUUGACGGUACCUAAUCAGAAAGCCACGGCUAACUACGUG
rnacentral:rRNA from 1 species